UACGUAGGGGGCUAGCGUUAUCCGGAAUCAUUGGGCGUAAAGAGCGCGUAGGCGGCCAGAUAAGUCCGGUGUGAAAGUCAAAGGCUCAACCUUUGAAUGCCGCUGGAAACUGUCUGGCUAGAGUCCGGGAGGGGCGAGUGGAAUUCCUGGUGUAGCGGUGAAAUGCGCAGAUAUCAGGAGGAACACCAAUGGCGAAGGCAGCUCGCUGGAACGGUACUGACGCUGAGACGCGAAAGCGUGGGGAGCGAACAGG
rnacentral:rRNA from 1 species